rnacentral:tRNA from 2 species
GGGUGAUUAGCUCAGUGGUAGAGCGCAUCGUUCACAUCGAUGAUGUCGGGGGUUCAAAUCCCUCAUCACCCACCA